rnacentral:rRNA from 1 species
UGAGGAAUAUUGGUCAAUAGGCGCGAGCCUGAACCAGCCAAGUAGCGUGAAGGAUGAAGGUCCUACGGAUUGUAAACUUCUUUUAUAAGGGAAUAAAGUCACCCACGUGUGGGUGUUUGUAUGUACCUUAUGAAUAAGCAUCGGCUAACUCCGUGCCAGCAGCCGCGGUAAUACGGAGGAUGCGAGCGUUAUCCGGAUUUAUUGGGUUUAAAGGGAGCGUAGACGGGCCGUUAAGUCAGCUGUGAAAGUUUGAGGCUCAACCUUAAAAUUGCAGUUGAUACUGGCGUCCUUGAGUACGGUUGAGGCAGGCGGAAUUCGUGGUGUAGCGGUGAAAUGCUUAGAUAUCACGAAGAACCCCGAUUGCGAAGGCAGCCUGCUAAACCGCCACUGACGUUGAGGCUCGAAAGUGUAGGUAUCAAACAGGAUUAGAUACCCUGGUAGUCCACACGGUAAACGAUGGAUACUCGCUGUUGGCGAUAGACUGUCAGCGGCUUAGCGAAAGCGUUAAGUAUCCCACCUGGGGAGUACGCCGGCAACGGUGAAACUCAAAGGAAUUGACGGGGGCCCGCACAAGCGGAGGAACAUGUGGUUUAAUUCGAUGAUACGCGAGGAACCUUACCCGGGCUUGAAUUGCAGACGAAUUGCUUGGAAACAGGCAAGCCGCAAGGCGUCUGUGAAGGUGCUGCAUGGUUGUCGUCAGCUCGUGCCGUGAGGUGUCGGCUUAAGUGCCAUAACGAGCGCAACCCUCGUGUCCAGUUACUAGCAGGUUAUGCUGAGGACUCUGGACAGACUGCCAUCGUAAGAUGUGAGGAAGGUGGGGAUGACGUCAAAUCAGCACGGCCCUUACGUCCGGGGCUACACACGUGUUACAAUGGGGGGUACAGCAGGCAGCUACCGGGCGACCGGAUGCCAAUCCCGAAAGCCUCUCUCAGUUCGGACUGGAGUCUGCAACCCGACUCCACGAAGCUGGAUUCGCUAGUAAUCGCGCAUCAGCCACGGCGCGGUGAAUACGUUCCC